ACAAACUUGGUCAUUUAGAGGAAGUAAAAGUCGUAACAAGGUUUCCGUAGGUGAACCUGCGGAAGGAUCAUUAUCGAGUUUUGACUGGGUUGUAGCUGGCCUUCCGAGGCACGUGCACGCCCUGCUCAUCCACUCUACACCUGUGCACUUACUGUGGGUUUACCGGUCGCGAAACGGGCUCGUUUAUUCGGGCUUGUGGAGCGCACUUGUUGCCUGCGUUUAUCACAAACUCCAUUAAAGUAUUAGAAUGUGUAUUGCGAUGUAACGCAUCUAUAUACAACUUUCAGCAACGGAUCUCUUGGCUCUCGCAUCGAUGAAGAACGCAGC
rnacentral:misc_RNA from 1 species